UACGGAGGGUGCAAGCGUUAUCCGGAUUCACUGGGUUUAAAGGGUGCGUAGGCGGAUUGGUAAGUCCGUGGUGAAAUCUCCGAGCUUAACUCGGAAACUGCCAUGGAUACUAUUAGUCUUGAAUAUUGUGGAGGUUAGCGGAAUAUGUCAUGUAGCGGUGAAAUGCAUAGAUAUCGCUUGGAACGCCGAAGGUGAAAACAGGUUGCUGGGGAUGUGCCGACGCUGAGACACGAAAGCCAGGGGAGCAAACGGG
rnacentral:rRNA from 1 species